rnacentral:tRNA from 1 species
CCAUCGGUGGUUCAGUGGUAGAAUGCUCGUCUGCCACGCGGGCGGCCCGGGUUCGAUUCCCGUCGGAUGCA